AACGAACGCUGGCGGCAUGCCUAACACAUGCAAGUCGAACGAGACCUCUGUGUCUAGUUGCGCAUGGGUGCGUCGCGCGUGGGAAUCUGCCCUUGGGCUCGGAAUAACAGUGAGAAAUUGCUGCUAAUACCGGAUGAUGUCUUCGGACCAAAGAUAUAUCGCCCAGGGAUGAGCCGGCGUAGGAUGAGCCAGUCGGGGGGGUAAUGGCCUACCAAGGCGACGAUCCUUAGCUGGGAUGAGAGGAUGAUCAGCCACACUUGGAGUAGGACGCGGCCGAGAAUCUUACGGAAGGGGGGAGAGGGGAAUAUUGGACAAUGGGGUCGGGGCUGAACCAGCAAUGCCGGGUGAGUGAUGAAGGCCUUAGGGUAGAAAAGCACUUUUACCAGGGAUGAUAAUGACAGUACCUGGAGAAUAAGCUCCGGCUAACUCCGUG
rnacentral:rRNA from 1 species